CACUGUUGCUCAGAGCUCAAACCUUUGAGAGAGCUCUUAACCAACUGAGCCACUCAGCCGGCCCUGGAUAUUCUUAAUUGUUAAGACAUUCUUUUAUUGAACCAAAAUUAGCUUCCUUGUAAUUUCUUUCUAGAUUUGCAAUCCUUUGCUACAAAGAACAAAAAUUAGCAAAAGACCAUCUCUUGAUGGGAACCCACCCUUCAUCUCAUAUCCCAGUAAGUCUCUUCCCUUUUUUUAAACAUCCCCUUAUUUAAGGAAGUGCUAUAGCCUGGUAGAAAAAGCAUGGAUGGAGAAGUGAAGAGAUGGGGUUCUACUUCCGCCUCUUGCAUGAUAAGUCAGCUGACUUUGGAUGAGCCACUUCACCACUUUGGGCCUCAGUUUUUUUCUUGUAGUGUGAGGAAGUUGGACUCAGAUGACCUUUAAGAUUGUUUUCAACAUUGGAUUCUGGGUUCUUUUCAGCGCAGGCUUGUGUUAAAUGGUUUGGUUUAUCAUCUUUUGUCUACACUCUUGUGGACACUGUCCUGGGAAGAAAAGAAAAUAUUUAAUUGCUUGAAGAACAAUAUAAUGGCUACUAUUCUCCCUAUAGAAAAAUUAACCAUUAAUCAAAGUGCUUUCAUUUAUUUAUGUUCUCUUCUAGUCCUCAUCUGUAAAUCUACAUAAUUAAUUUUGCAUGACUGGAUCAUAUCAGGGAUAUAAUUUAUACUGUUUUUUACCCUUCACGGAGUCAUGAGCAUUUACAAUAAAUUCCCAUGGGCGGGAUUACUGGGUCAAAAGGUCUGACUGCCAGUGAGCCUCGUGUUACUCCCCCACCUCUUCUUCCUCAUCCAUAACCACCAGUUUGGACUUGGCUUCUCUUGCUUCUUUCUCCUUUUCACUCCUGGGAUCCACAGCAGAGUGUACGUGUACUGCUUUUGUAUAUAAUUUGGAUUGGAAAGCAAUUAACUGCUCAGUCCAGGCAAGUGGUGCCAUAUUUUUAUAUUCCUCGACCGGAAACUCAUUGCCUAAUGGCAAGUUGACUUUUUUUGCAUAGCUAAGAGACUGAUCCUUUCAGAUCUAUCUCCCUUCAAACUCUAAUUCUUUUCAAUCAGUGUGUUUCUUGUUCUCAUGUUAAUGCCUUUGCUGAUGUCAUUCUUCUUUCCUAUAAUUCUUUUUCCUUUCUGCUAAUCGAAAUCUUUAUACUUCUUUUAUGAUCCAGCUUAAGGCUUAUCCCUAAAUGAUGCCUUCACUGAUUAAUUCCAUAUCCAGGCAUCUUUCCCCUUGAAUUCCUUCAGCAUUCUGUCUAGUCUGUAUCAUUCUAUCUAGCAUUUUCUUACAUGUUGCCAUAUAAUCAUUCUGUCUCAUGUUUGUAAGUCUUGUCUCCUUAACUAUGUCAAAGGCUCUUGUAUGCAGGGACUGUCUUCUCCCAAUGCAACCAAUAGGACGUUUACUAAAUGUGGUAACUUAUUUAAUAAUUUAGAGCUUCAGUUUUCUCAUUUGUCACAUGAGGAUAAUGAUGCCUGCAUCACAGGGAUGUUGAAACAAUCAAAUGAGACAAUGUGUUGAGAAACCAUAAAACAUUUACAGAGGAUAGACAUUAAUUUUUGAAAGAUAGUGACAAUCUGGGCUGGCCGAGUGGCGCGUUGGUUAAGAGCUGGCUUGGGACACC